CCUUGUACACACCGCCCGUCACACCAUGGAAGCCAGUUGUACCGGAAGUCGGUACACCAACCCGAAAGGGAGGUAGCCGCCAAUGGUAUGACUGGUGACUGGGGUG
rnacentral:rRNA from 1 species